UGAAUACGAGAUGCUACGGCGUCGAAGCAGUCUAUGUCAUACUUCCAAGAAAAGCUUGCACUGUCAUAAACAAAUAAUGCCUGUACCAUAACCGACACAGGUGGGUAGGUAGAGUAUACUAAGGGGCGCGAGAUAACUCUCUCUAAGGAACUCGGCAAAAUGACUCCGUAACUUCGGGAGAAGGAGUGCCUUAUUUAUAAGGUUGCAAUAACAAGAUCCAAGCAACUGUUUACCAAAAACACAGGUCUCCGCUAAGUCGUAAGACGAUGUAUGGGGGCUGACGCCUGCCCAGUGCCAGAAGGUUAAAGAAGUUGGUUAGCAUCCGCGAAGCUGAUAACUGAAGCCCUGGUGAACGGCGGCCGUAACGAUAACGGUCCUAAGAUAGCGAAAUUCCUUGUCGGGUAAGUUCCGACCCGCACGAAAGGCGUAAUGAUUUGGAUACUGUCUCGGAGAGGGGCUCGGUGAAAUAGACUUGUCUGUGAAGAUGCGGACUACCUGCACCAGGACAGAAAGACCCUAUGAAGCUUUACUGUAACCUGAAAUUGAAAUUGGACUUUACUUGCGCAGUAUAGGUGGGAGGCGUUGAGAAUAUUCUUGCGGGAUUAUUGGAGCCAUCAGUGAGAUACCACUCUUGUAAUGUUAGAUUUCUAACUUUGUAUCAUUAUCUGGUCAAAGAACAGUUUCAGGCGGGCAGUUUGACUGGGGCGGUCGCCUCCUAAACGGUAACGGAGGCGCACAAAGGUUUCCUCUGAACGGGUAGAAAUCGUAUCUAGAGUGUAAAGGCAUAAGGAAGCUUGACUGUGAGACCUACAAGUCGAGCAGGGACGAAAGUCGGUCUUAGUGAUCUGACGGUGCUGAGUGGAAAGGCCGUCACUCAACGGAUAAAAGUUACUCUAAGGAUAACAGGCUGAUCUCCCCCAAGAGUUCACAUCGACGGGGAGGUUUGGCACCUCGAUGUCGGCUCAUCGCAUCCUGGGGCGGUAGUACGUCCCAAGGGUUGGGCUGUUCGCCCAUGAAAGCGGUACGCGAGCUGGGUUCAGAACGUCGUGAGACAGUUCGGUCCAUAUCCGGUGUAGGCGUUAGAAUAUUGAGAGGAGCCUUCUUUAGUACGAGAGGACCGAGAAGGACAUACCUCUGGUGUACCAGUUAUCGUGCCAACGGUAAACGCUGGGUAGCUAUGUGUGGAGUGGAUAACCGCUGAAAGCAUCUAAGUGGGAAGCCCACCUCAAGAUAAG
rnacentral:rRNA from 1 species